GUACGUAGGUGCUCAAUAGAGAAUGAGUUCACUGAACACGAUCAACGAAGAGUUCUCAUAUUCAUGUCACAUAAGAACUCAUGGUUGGGAUAAUGCAAAGUAGUUCUUUGACCUGAGGCAUCAUAGUUGUCUUGUGGUUAAGUCCUUGAUCUUUGAUUAUGUCAAAAGUCACUCCAAAAGGAGGGUGUCCACGACAUCGUCGGGGUUAAGCCACUUAGCCAUGGAGGCAAGUGAAUGUGCAACAAGGGAUCUCUAACCUUCAAACCGUUUGAGGGAGAAUACUCUAUGAUAUGAUUAAGAAUCUCUGGCCAGAGUAUGAAUGAGAUUUAGGAAGUCGUUCUAAAUCACAUUCAAGGUAAUCAUAUAAGCACACGAAUCACAUUGGAUAGUAGACAUAAAUAAACUAUCAAACCAAACAAUGUGGUCAAGAGUAUUGUAUUAGAGAAAGACCGUAUUGCAUUUGUAAUCCUAAACUGAAUAGGUUCUCCACCUCUUCUGAUUAGCUUGGGUAACCAUGAUAUGCUGCUAGGUGUCACUCAUGGUUUGUGGAAGCCCUAAACGUGUAUAAUCACUAAAGGGAGAAUUGAAAGUACGUUUCAAUUCACAAUCGAUUUGAAAUGGUUUUAAUCGCCCACUGCCUCGCUAAAAGGAACCUAAUGGAUCGUACACUGUGUAGGGUGGAGAUUGAAGAAACAAAGGAGAUGAGUAAGGAUAAUUAAAUGGUUGAAUUAUUUAUGGCAAGGAUUAAUUAAUAUGUUAAUUAAUCAAACGAAUAAGUUGGUUAAAGACCACGGGUUUAGUUAUGGGCCUCAAGGCCCAAUGGGCUUCGAACGUCAAGCCCAUUGACUUAAGUUGUAUGACAACUUAAUGACUAAUAAUUCACAAAGGCCUUAAAAGCCCAAUGAAAGCCUUAAGGUCGGCCAUUUAGAGAUGGAGUGGGUUUUGGACUUAUUUACAAGUUUGCCACUCCAAUGAAUUAAGGUAUAAAUAUGACUUUAUAGCCAAAAUUCAUUUAGGUUUUCUUUUGGAGAAAAUUGGAGAGAACGUGUCUCUCCCUUUCUCUCUAAAGAGGCCGGCCCCCUUGGAGGGAUUAGCUAGUAAUCUUUCUCCU
rnacentral:lncRNA from 1 species